CCUGCAGCUAGCAGAACAAUGAAAACAUCCAAACCUAAUGACUGCAGCCGAUCUUCGGGGCUGAAAGCAGCAUCCAGUAUUUCGUGUCUCUGCUCCUCUGCUGCAUCCAGUCGCUGUUUGACCUGCUGUCUCCACAUCUCUGAGUUCAUCAACUGCUGCUGUUUCUAUCUUACAUCUUUAUUAACUCUCCCGCUGCUGCUCCGUCAACAAAAACCCAAGAAAACAUGAAGGACGACGCUCCAACUGCCGCCAUUGAACCGAGAGAAACACGAGUCUGCGCACUGGAGGUUAGGGGCUGGACCCGUGGAGGACCCGGAAGUUGCGCACAGAACAUCAGCUGGACGUUAACGUGUCCGCCAUAUUGGCAGAGGAGAGGUGGCCUAAUUCUUACGAACGCUACGAAUUUAACAGGUUUCCAGUUUCCACUGAAAGUCUGUAGUGGCGUCAAGGUGCUGUCUGUACGACGGGGUCGAAAUUCUUCCGAGGAGGUGCAAAGUGUCUGACCUUUCUAUAAUGGGUUGUAUGAUUUUUGAUCAAUUAUAUUGUUUGAUUUCUGAUAAAUAAACUUGAAUUAAGGUGUGACCUUUCACAGGAAAAAUCUACAAAAUGUACUAAACUGUGUUUUCCUGAAUCUGCCAUUAAUGUAGAAUAGUUCUGUUCAUUUUUGAGAAGUCUGUGUUAGUUACAUUUGUCUUUGUUGAGUUUAAACAAACAGAAUAAAGAUUUCACAUGUUUAUGUUUUAGAUUUUGAACCAGAGAGGAUUAAAGGUAGUCCGGACUUGUUAAAUGCAGUGGAAUAUGAAGCAGAAGCGUCGGUAAACACAGACCUGGACUUACAGUAACAACAUUUUAAAGCGGAGUUUAACUUCCGUCUGCACUUAUUAAACGACGUUUUAUCCAUAGGAGACAUUUCUAAUGCAACACAGAGUGAAACUUUCUGUCUAUAUUGUUCGAAAGCGGCAACCCGAAGUCUGGAAGCUGUAGUCCGCAGACAUUACGAUGUUGUUUUAGUUUAGUUAAGCAGGAAAAAAAGGACUCAUCAACCGCUGAUCUCGGCCAGAUCCCACAGCUGCUGCUAACCUGCAGCUAGCAUCCCUUCAGCUGCUCGGAACAAUGAAAACAUCCAAACCUAAUGACUGCAGCCGAUCUUCGGGGCUGAAAGCAGCAUCCAGUAUUUCGUGUCUCUGCUCCUCUGCUGCAUCCAGUCGCUGUUUGACCUGCUGUCUCCACAUCUCUGGUAGCUUUUCUCUCUCCAAACUUUCCUUCAACCGUUACUGAGCAGUUCCUGCUGAGCUUCAAACCGUUUCUCUUCUUUCCAGAGUUCAUCAACUGCUGCUGUUUCUAUCUUACAUCUUUAUUAACUCUCCCGCUGCUG